rnacentral:piRNA from 1 species
UGCUCAAUUUCAGUCCAUUCCAAAGGCUGU